UGGGGAAUUUUGGACAAUGGGCGCAAGCCUGAUCCAGCCAUGCCGCGUGCGGGAAGAAGGCCUUCGGGUUGUAAACCGCUUUUGUCAGGGAAGAAAUCUUCUGAGUUAAUACCUCGGGAGGAUGACGGUACCUGAAGAAUAAGCACCGGCUAACUACGUGCCAGCAGCCGCGGUAAUACGUAGGGUGCAAGCGUUAAUCGGAAUUACUGGGCGUAAAGCGUGCGCAGGCGGUUUUGUAAGACAGAGGUGAAAUCCCCGGGCUCAACCUGGGAACUGCCUUUGUGACUGCAAGGCUUGAGUGCGGCAGAGGGGGGAUGGAAUUCCGCGUGUAGCAGUGAAAUGCGUAGAUAUGCGGAGGAACACCGAUGGCGAAGGCAAUCCCCUGGGCCUGCACUGACGCUCAUGCACGAAAGCGUGGGGAGCAAACAGGAUUAGAUAGCCCUGGUAGUCCACGCCCUAAAACGAUGUCAACUGGUUGUUGGGAAGGUUCCUUCUCAGUAACGUAGCUAACGCGUGAAGUUGACCGCCUGGGGAGUAUGGCCGCAAGGUUG
rnacentral:rRNA from 1 species